UACGAAGGGGGCUAGCGUUGCUCGGAAUCACUGGGCGUAAAGGGUGCGUAGGCGGGUUUUUAAGUCAGGGGUGAAAUCCUGGAGCUCAACUCCAGAACUGCCUUUGAUACUGAAGAUCUUGAGUCCGGGAGAGGUGAGUGGAACUGCGAGUGUAGAGGUGAAAUUCGUAGAUAUUCGCAAGAACACCAGUGGCGAAGGCGGCUCACUGGCCCGAUACUGACGCUGAGGCGCGAAAGCGUGGGGAGCAAACAGG
rnacentral:rRNA from 1 species